rnacentral:rRNA from 1 species
UACGUAGGGUGCAAGCGUUAAUCGGAAUUACUGGGCGUAAAGCGUGCGCAGGCGGCUUUGUAAGUCUGUCGUGAAAGCCCCGGGCUCAACCUGGGAAUUGCGAUGGAGACUGCAAGGCUUGAAUCUGGCAGAGGGGGGUAGAAUUCCACGUGUAGCAGUGAAAUGCGUAGAGAUGUGGAGGAACACCGAUGGCGAAGGCAGCCCCCUGGGUCAAGAUUGACGCCUCGAUGCACGAAAGCGUGGGGAGCAAACAGG